rnacentral:rRNA from 1 species
UACGAAGGGUGCAAGCGUUACUCGGAAUUACUGGGCGUAAAGCGUGCGUAGGUGGUUUGUUAAGUCUGUUGUGAAAGCCCCGGGCUCAACCUGGGAAUGGCAAUGGAUACUGGCAGGCUAGGGUGCGGUAGAGGGUAGUGGAAUUCCCGGUGUAGCGGUGAAAUGCGUAGAGAUCGGAAGGAACACCAGUGGCGAAGGCGACUGUCUGGCCAGAUACUGACGCUGAGGCGCGAAAGCGUGGGGAGCAAACAGG